CUCCUUUGACGUUAGCGGCGGACGGGUGAGUAACACGUGGGUAACCUACCUAUAAGACUGGGAUAACUUCGGGAAACCGGAGCUAAUACCGGAUAAUAUUUCGAACCGCAUGGUUCGAUAGUGAAAGGUGGUUUUGCCAUCACUUAUAGAUGGACCCGCGCCGUAUUAGCUAGUUGGUAAGGUAACGGCUUGCCAAGGCGACGAUACGUAGCCGACCUGAGAGGGCGAUCGGCCACACUGGAACUGAGACACGGUCCAGACUCCUACGGGAGGCAGCGCC
rnacentral:rRNA from 1 species